rnacentral:rRNA from 1 species
GCAUAUCAAUAAGCGGAGGAAAAGAAACCAACAGGGAUUGCCCUAGUAACGGCGAGUGAAGCGGCAACAGCUCAAAUUUGAAAUCUGGCUCUUUCAGAGUCCGAGUUGUAAUUUGCAGAGGGCGCUUUGGCUUUGGCAGCGGUCCAAGUUCCUUGGAACAGGACGUCACAGAGGGUGAGAAUCCCGUACGUGGUCGCUAGCUAUUGCCGUGUAAAGCCCCUUCGACGAGUCGAGUUGUUUGGGAAUGCAGCUCUAAAUGGGAGGUAAAUUUCUUCUAAAGCUAAAUAUUGGCCAGAGACCGAUAGCGCACAAGUAGAGUGAUCGAAAGAUGAAAAGCACUUUGGAAAGAGAGUCAAACAGCACGUGAAAUUGUUGAAAGGGAAGCGCUUGCAGCCAGACUUGCUUGCAGUUGCUCAUCCGGGCUUUUGCCCGGUGCACUCUUCUGCAGGCAGGCCAGCAUCAGUUUGGGCGGUGGGAUAAAGGUCUCUGUCAUGUACCUCUCUUCGGGGAGGCCUUAUAGGGGAGGCGACAUACCACCAGCCUAGACUGAGGUCCGCGCAUCUGCUAGGAUGCUGGCGUAAUGGCUGUAAGCGGCCCGUCUUGAAACACGGACCAAGGAGUCUAACAUCUAUGCGAGUGUUUGGGUGUCAAGCCCGAGCGCGUAAUGAAAGUGAACGGAGGUGGGAACCCGCAAGGGUGCACCAUCGACCGAUCCUGAAGUUUACGGAAGGAUUUGAGUAAGAGCAUGGCUGUUGGGACCCGAAAGAUGGUGAACUAUGCUUGAAUAGGGUGAAGCCAGAGGAAACUCUGGUGGAGGCUCGCAGCGGUUCUGACGUGCAAAUCGAUCGUCAAAUUUGGGCAUAGGGGCGAAAGACUAAUCGAACUAUCUAGUAGCUGGUUCCUGCCGAAGU